rnacentral:lncRNA from 1 species
UUAUAAUUAAGUUCUAACUUUUCGUCUAUUAAUUAUAAACUCAUUUAGUCACAAAGUUGUAAUAUCCAAUUUUGGCCCAAACCAAUAAAACCAAAAUAAACCCACCAAAUAAUUCAAAAGUCCAAACUUCAAGUCCAUUUACAACAUGUGUAGCCCAAAAUUAAAACCAGACCCAUUACACAUCAAUUAACCCAAACCCACUACCUAGAUUUUAGCCCAAAUCAAAACCCCAUUAGCCCAUUACCUAAACUAACCCUAAUAGCCCACUUGCUUAAAAUUUUCAGCAAACCCUAGCCACCAAGUUUUCAGCCGCCACUCCCCCUCAGCCUUGGCCAUCACGCGCGCCACCACCAUCGCUCAGGGCAUCAACCAUCGGCCUUCCAUACGUCUGACACCUGCAAGACGAAACUAACACGCAAAAUACAAGAAAAAAAGAAGAAAAAAACAAAAAUAAUAGCAGACAACAAGCAAAAAAAAAAAACAAAAAAUGAAUCUAUGUAAUUUGGUUAUAAAAGCCGAAACAUCCCUUUGUAGUUUUUUUUACGAACACUAGCAAUCGAAAAGCAAGAAUACAAAAAAAAGGUUGAUUUCGAUUUCUAUUUUCGUGUUACAAAAAAAAGGUUGAUUUCGAUUUCUAUUUUCGUGUCUUUUCGUUUUAUACUUUUAUUUUUUUAUGUAAAUCUACUCUAAACGAAAAUAAAAAGAAGAAACUUACCGGAUUUAUCUCGUGGCCGCAUUGUCGGAGUUCUCAUCUCCGCCGCCGUGGUCGUUUCCUAAAAGGGAAGAGAGGGACUUUUUCCUUUUUAUUUUCGGAGUUUUGAGAACGUGGCCUUUCAGGUUCACCUGGAAUGGGACUAAAGAGUCCCUUUCGCGCAACUCCAGCCUUUGGCCCCGACGGCAGCACGGGGGACUGCUGAGGGUUCCUUCGGUCGGAGACAGAGGAGAGGGAGAGAGAGUUUAAAAGUUUUUUUUUUAGUUGAAG